GGGUUGUGAGGUUAAGCGACUAAGCGUACACGGUGGAUGCCCUGGCAGUCAGAGGCGAUGAAGGACGUGCUAAUCUGCGAUAAGCGUCGGUAAGGUGAUAUGAACCGUUAUAACCGGCGAUUUCCGAAUGGGGAAACCCAGUGUGAUUCGUCACACUAUCAUUAACUGAAUCCAUAGGUUAAUGAGGCGAACCGGGGGAACUGAAACAUCUAAGUACCCCGAGGAAAAGAAAUCAACCGAGAUUCCCCCAGUAGCGGCGAGCGAACGGGGAGCAGCCCAGAGCCUGAAUCAGUGUGUGUGUUAGUGGAAGCGUCUGGAAAGGCGUGCGAUACAGGGUGACAGCCCCGUACACAAAAAUGCACAUGCUGUGAGCUCGAUGAGUAGGGCGGGACACGUGGUAUCCUGUCUGAAUAUGGGGGGACCAUCCUCCAAGGCUAAAUACUCCUGACUGACCGAUAGUGAACCAGUACCGUGAGGGAAAGGCGAAAAGAACCCCGGCGAGGGGAGUGAAAAAGAACCUGAAACCGUGUACGUACAAGCAGUGGGAGCACGCUUAGGCGUGUGACUGCGUACCUUUUGUAUAAUGGGUCAGCGACUUAUAUUCUGUAGCAAGGUUAACCGAAUAGGGGAGCCGAAGGGAAACCGAGUCUUAACUGGGCGUUAAGUUGCAGGGUAUAGACCCGAAACCCGGUGAUCUAGCCAUGGGCAGGUUGAAGGUUGGGUAACACUAACUGGAGGACCGAACCGACUAAUGUUGAAAAAUUAGCGGAUGACUUGUGGCUGGGGGUGAAAGGCCAAUCAAACCGGGAGAUAGCUGGUUCUCCCCGAAAGCUAUUUAGGUAGCGCCUCGUGAAUUCAUCUCCGGGGGUAGAGCACUGUUUCGGCAAGGGGGUCAUCCCGACUUACCAACCCGAUGCAAACUGCGAAUACCGGAGAAUGUUAUCACGGGAGACACACGGCGGGUGCUAACGUCCGUCGUGAAGAGGGAAACAACCCAGACCGCCAGCUAAGGUCCCAAAGUCAUGGUUAAGUGGGAAACGAUGUGGGAAGGCCCAGACAGCCAGGAUGUUGGCUUAGAAGCAGCCAUCAUUUAAAGAAAGCGUAAUAGCUCACUGGUCGAGUCGGCCUGCGCGGAAGAUGUAACGGGGCUAAACCAUGCACCGAAGCUGCGGCAGCGACGCUGAUGCGUUGUUGGGUAGGGGAGCGUUCUGUAAGCCUGUGAAGGUGUACUGUGAGGUAUGCUGGAGGUAUCAGAAGUGCGAAUGCUGACAUAAGUAACGAUAAAGCGGGUGAAAAGCCCGCUCGCCGGAAGACCAAGGGUUCCUGUCCAACGUUAAUCGGGGCAGGGUGAGUCGACCCCUAAGGCGAGGCCGAAAGGCGUAGUCGAUGGGAAACAGGUUAAUAUUCCUGUACUUGGUGUUACUGCGAAGGGGGGACGGAGAAGGCUAUGUUGGCCGGGCGACGGUUGUCCCGGUUUAAGCGUGUAGGCUGGUUUUCCAGGCAAAUCCGGAAAAUCAAGGCUGAGGCGUGAUGACGAGGCACUACGGUGCUGAAGCAACAAAUGCCCUGCUUCCAGGAAAAGCCUCUAAGCAUCAGGUAACAUCAAAUCGUACCCCAAACCGACACAGGUGGUCAGGUAGAGAAUACCAAGGCGCUUGAGAGAACUCGGGUGAAGGAACUAGGCAAAAUGGUGCCGUAACUUCGGGAGAAGGCACGCUGAUAUGUAGGUGAAGUCCCUCGCGGAUGGAGCUGAAAUCAGUCGAAGAUACCAGCUGGCUGCAACUGUUUAUUAAAAACACAGCACUGUGCAAACACGAAAGUGGACGUAUACGGUGUGACGCCUGCCCGGUGCCGGAAGGUUAAUUGAUGGGGUCAGCGCAAGCGAAGCUCUUGAUCGAAGCCCCGGUAAACGGCGGCCGUAACUAUAACGGUCCUAAGGUAGCGAAAUUCCUUGUCGGGUAAGUUCCGACCUGCACGAAUGGCGUAAUGAUGGCCAGGCUGUCUCCACCCGAGACUCAGUGAAAUUGAACUCGCUGUGAAGAUGCAGUGUACCCGCGGCAAGACGGAAAGACCCCGUGAACCUUUACUAUAGCUUGACACUGAACAUUGAGCCUUGAUGUGUAGGAUAGGUGGGAGGCUUUGAAGUGUGGACGCCAGUCUGCAUGGAGCCGACCUUGAAAUACCACCCUUUAAUGUUUGAUGUUCUAACGUUGACCCGUAAUCCGGGUUGCGGACAGUGUCUGGUGGGUAGUUUGACUGGGGCGGUCUCCUCCUAAAGAGUAACGGAGGAGCACGAAGGUUGGCUAAUCCUGGUCGGACAUCAGGAGGUUAGUGCAAUGGCAUAAGCCAGCUUGACUGCGAGCGUGACGGCGCGAGCAGGUGCGAAAGCAGGUCAUAGUGAUCCGGUGGUUCUGAAUGGAAGGGCCAUCGCUCAACGGAUAAAAGGUACUCCGGGGAUAACAGGCUGAUACCGCCCAAGAGUUCAUAUCGACGGCGGUGUUUGGCACCUCGAUGUCGGCUCAUCACAUCCUGGGGCUGAAGUAGGUCCCAAGGGUAUGGCUGUUCGCCAUUUAAAGUGGUACGCGAGCUGGGUUUAGAACGUCGUGAGACAGUUCGGUCCCUAUCUGCCGUGGGCGCUGGAGAACUGAGGGGGGCUGCUCCUAGUACGAGAGGACCGGAGUGGACGCAUCACUGGUGUUCGGGUUGUCAUGCCAAUGGCACUGCCCGGUAGCUAAAUGCGGAAGAGAUAAGUGCUGAAAGCAUCUAAGCACGAAACUUGCCCCGAGAUGAGUUCUCCCUGACUCCUUGAGAGUCCUGAAGGAACGUUGAAGACGACGACGUUGAUAGGCCGGAUGUGUAAGCGCAGCGAUGCGUUGAGCUAACCGGUACUAAUGAACCGUGAGGCUUAACCUUACAACGCCGAAGGUGUUU
rnacentral:rRNA from 1 species